ensembl:snoRNA
AUCCAAGGUGAUUCCCUCUCCAAGGGGACAUCUGGUGCCCCUCUCAGGAAAGUAGCAACUUGGAAUAGAAUCUGGCAUGCCUAAGGUCUUUGGGGGAACAGGGAUGCUUAUUUCCUCUGCCUUCCUUGGCUGCCUACAUGG